UACGGGGGGGGCAAGCGUUGUUCGGAAUUACUGGGCGUAAAGGGCUCGUAGGUGGCCAACUAAGUCGGACGUGAAAUCCCUCAGCUUAACUGGGGAACUGCGUCCGAUACUGGAUGGCUUGAGUUUGGGAGAGGGAUGCGGAAUUCCAGGUGUAGCGGUGAAAUGCGUAGAUAUCAGGAAGAACACCCGUGGCGAAGGCGGCUCUCUGGGACGGUACUGACGCUGAGACGCGAAAGCGUGGGGAGCGAACAGG
rnacentral:rRNA from 1 species